GAAGAAGGCCAUGCGGGAAAGGAGGCAGGGAUUGGAGUGAGGCAUCUGCAAGCCGAGGAACGCCGAUUGCCACAAACCACGAGAAGGACACUGAGGGUGAAAGAAGCGAGGCGACUAGUCCGAGGACAGUUGGUUAUUUACGCAGCACAGCAAGGAUAAGAAUCUGGGGAUCUGCAUCUAACACUGUGCCUCUCCGCCACACAGUCCUGCCUGGAAUCCCUCUAUUAGGCAAAUUCUGGUAAGUCAUUGCCUUGCUUAAACCCUUCCAUGGCUCCCCAUUCUCCCAGGACCACAUCCCAGCUCCUGAGCCUGGCUGGGAGGACCUUCAUGACCUGGCCUCUUCCCGCUGCUGCUGUCGCUCCCGCUUUGUGCCCUACAGCUUGCCUCUGUGCCUUUGCCAAGGCUGUUUCCUCUGCUAGCCAUGCCCUUCCCCUCCCUCUCCACUUGGCAAAUGUCCAUUCUCCCUUUAAGACUCUAGCUUUGUUCAACCGCAGUCUGCCUUUUCCCUAUAAAUGCUUCUGGGGUUGCAGUGACAUUGCUGCCCUUUUGGACUUGGCUGCGAAAGCCUGGAAGGCAGGCACCGGCUCUUGUCCAUCUCUGAUUCCCCAGCGCCCUCACAGCACGUGCAAAACGUAGACUGCAAUGACUGGAAUGGAUUCCAGCUACUGCCCACCACACUGCAUAGGACGGGCGGGAGGCAGCCCCCAGAACCAGAGACUCCUGCGGAAGAAGACGGAAAUACUCAGACAGACUCUUGGCCAAACUACUCCUCUCUCUACAUUGUGAACGCACAAAAGGUUCCAGCAAUAAUCAUUCUUUAAACAAUAAUAGCAAAAUGUCUACAUGUUUCCAAGGGAUGGGGGCGUGCACAGAGGCUAUCUUUCCCAAGGAUGCCACUCCCAGGAAGUCAGAAUGAAGCAAGUUCUUUGGCGGGUGUCAGGAGGACGGCCUCAGAGAAGCCCAAGAGCAGAUCCUGGAACUGAGGGGGCGAAGGAGGAACCUCUCACCAAACUCACCGCGUCACUGGGUCUUCACCCCACCCAUGUCAUGCCCGCCCCGCUCAGGGUGGAGAGACAACAAAGGAAGGCUAAACACAAACUGGUCGAUGUUGCUGCUUCUUAGCAGACCGCUGGGACCACUGCAAUGGAUUCCAAUAGGAUUUACAUACCUACAGCUAAUCAUUAUAUUGUGGGGUCCUGCAGGAAGUGAUUCGUAGGGCUGCUGGUGGGAGACAGGGGAUCAAAGGGCCUUUAAAAAAUACAGAGGUCAGGGGCUGGCCCCGUGGCCGAGUGGUUAAGUUCGC
rnacentral:lncRNA from 1 species